rnacentral:rRNA from 1 species
CCCGCUGAACUUAAGCAUAUCAAUAAGCGGAGGAAAAGAAACUAACAAGGAUUCCCUUAGUAACUGCGAGUGAAGAGGGAAGAGCUCAAAUUUAAAAUCUGGCAGUGUCUUGCUGUCCGAGUUGUAAUCUAGAGAAGUGCUGCCCGUGCUGGACCAUGUACAAGUCUCCUGGAAUGGAGCGUCACAGAGGGUGAGAAUCCCGUCUUUGACAUGGACUACCAGUGCAUUUGUGGUGUGCUCUCAAAGAGUCGAGUUGUUUGGGAAUGCAGCUCUAAAUGGGUGGUAAACUCCAUCUAAAGCUAAAUAUUGGCGAGAGACCGAUAGCGAACAAGUACCGUGAGGGAAAGAUGAAAAGAACUUUGGAAAGGGAGUUAAACAGUAUGUGAAAUUGUUGAAAGGGAAACGCUUAAAGUCAGUCGUGUCGGCCAGGGAUCAACUCAGCUUUCUUUGCUGGGUGUACUUCCUGAUCUGAUGGGCCAACAUCAGUUUUGACUGCUGGAGAAGGAUAGAGGGAAUGUGGCACCUUUGGGUGUGUUAUAGCUCUCUGUCAGAUGCAGUGGUUGGGACUGAGGAUUGCAGCAUGCCGCAAGGCCGGGUCGUUUCGACCACGUUCGUGCUGAGGAUGUUGGCAUAAUGGCUUUAAUCGACCCGUCUUGAAACACGG